CCUGCUACAGAUACGCAAGUCGUAAAAUGGGGACAUAAAAAACAUUGGGGACUUGAUUUAAGUCCCCAAACUUUUUUAUCGUUGAAAACGAAAAAUUGACAUGUCUAAAUCCUAAAAAUAUCAAAAAAAUAACGUGUCCCAGUUACGGGGUUUUAUCGGACACAUGAUUACACAGAUAUCGUGUUGAUUGAAAUUGCCAUCUUCACUUACACAUCUCUGACGUUACACACUUCUAGAUUACGCAUGCGCGUGUGUAAAAAAAGCGGAAGUCCAAUUGUUUCGAAGCGGGAUACAAUAAACAUGUGGAAAAGAAGACACAGAGGAAAGCCUGGACACAGAAUCCUAGAUUCUUUUGAUAAAGAUGAUUUUUAUGCUGAAAACGAAUGUUCAAGGCAACCAGAAUCUUGAGUCCAUCCUGAACAUAGAGACAACACAGAUAUUAGCAAAGCUGGAUAAUGUUGCUAGAGGAUUAGUUAAUGCAACUCAGCAAGGACUAGUGAUGGAUAUGUUCCAGGUUCCACAGCUAGGAGAAUGUCAGGAAGAAAAGCCUCAUCAUUAAAAGUGUUACAGCAUCUUCAGAUGGUGAAAUGUCAAGCAAUAAGUGCAUUCCAAGCCCUCAAGAAGUUGUGUCAAGCCCUAGUCGUAAAGGCAUUCCAGAUCUAAAGAAUAGACAUGGACCUAUAUGUAUGGUUUUAUUGAUGAAAGUGUGCCAUCCCCAGUGACAAAGGUGAACCAGUUUCUGAAAAUGGAGAUGAAGCUUGACCCUGGAAAGAAAGCAUGCCUGUCUAGGGACUGAGAUCUGCAAGUUCUAAAUGAAGGAGAUUUGCCAGGUACUGAUAUUACUGAUAUCCUACAUGUGGGUCCCAUCUGCUCAAGGUUCCAAUAGUGAAAAAUCUUGGUUAGGAAUGAAGUGUCAUCAGAGGCACUAAAGGAAACUGAUGGCAUUGUUUUUGUGUGGGUGAUGAGAAUAAGAGUGAGGAGGAGAUAGAUGACAGUCAAGACAAUCAGGAUGUCCAUAUUGUCACUCCAGGGAAGAAGAAGUCAUUUCUGAUCCUAGAUCUACUGUGGAAGAUUCUACAUGCAAGUGACAAGAGAUACAAAAAAAUCCCAAGGACAUCAUGAGAAAUGAAUUUAAUCAACAGACAUUGUGGAAAAGAUUUCCUAAAAAAUUGUAAUAGGACCUUAGAGAAGUGUAAAACACCAAGGAUAUAAUCUUGUUAAAAAACAGAGAAAAUCUAUAUUAACAUUCUACUUUCAAUUGAUAUACUUUGAGAAAUAUGAUAAACACUGUGUUUUAAAGCCACAGUAAUGGAGGACAUUGAAUUCUUUGUAGCAGUUUUAUCAUUAGGCCAUUCCAAUUUUUUUCUGUGUUUAGUGUCUGCGGAUGGAUUGGUUUUGAGGUCAUGCAAUCAAGAACAAACACAAAAUGAAAUUGACAAAUACAAAUCUUUGACAAGCAAUUUACUCUUCUGGGAUCAGCAUCUCUCUUUUUUAAAAGUGAUGUGCUCAAGUUUUUUUUUUUUUUUUUUCAUUAAACUAGUAGUUGUAGUAGUUUAAUUUAGUUAUAAUAUGAGGAAAAUUCUCAAAUGAUGCUAAAGGAGUUCUAGAACUUUGCGUAAAAUGUUGUUUUUUCCCCUUUUGGUUUGUAAUUUUUUUUUUGGAAGGAAAGAAAUGUUUUGAAAUUUAGGUUGGAUGCUAAACAAAGAAAAAACUUGGAAUGGCCUCAUAUAACCUACAUGGACUAAACUUGCAUAGAUGAAGAGUGCUUAAGAAGCUGUGCAUGAUGUAUGUAGGAAAUGAUUUUGAGGUAUUAAAUAUUCUAUGCAAAAGGAAAUUUUCUCAAUUUAGUUAAUUUUUGCAAAAAAAUGUUUAAGCAUCACAUACAUAACCUUUCUGAAAGUGAAAAAAAUA